GGCGGCGCGCUUAAGCAUGCAAGUCGAACGGCAAGAGGUAGCAAUACCUCCUAGAGUGGCGGACUGGUGAGUAACACGUGGGUGACAUACCCUUCAGAUGGGGAUAGCUAUUAGAAAUAGUAGAUAAUACCGAAUACGAGCACAGGGGUUAGAGAUCUGUGAGGAAAGGAGCUAAGGCUCCGCUGAAGGAAUGGCCUGCGGCCCAUUAGCUAGUUGGUGAGGUAAGAGCCCACCAAGGCGAUGAUGGGUAUCCGGCCUUAGAGGGUGAACGGACACAUUGGGACUGAGAUACGGCCCAGACUCCUACGGGAGGCAGCAGCUAAGAAUAUUCCGCAAUGGACGAAAGUCUGACGGAGCGACGCCGCCGUGGAUGAAGAAGGCCGGAAGGUUGUAAAAUCCUUUUGAAACUGAAGAAUAAGCGUUGUAGGGAAUGACAGCGUGGUGACAGUAGGUUUUGAAUAAGCAACGGCUAAUUACGUGCCAGCCGCCGC
rnacentral:rRNA from 1 species